AUAUUCAAUACUAUCCGCACAAUGCUUCAGACUGUUCGUGUGAAGCGUGUGGUGCAUUCGACAAGCAGUGUCCCUUUGGGGCGCUCCUUGUCUGSUUUGAACGGCAACUUAUUGCAAAGCUUUACUCGGUAAGGUGCAAUAAUGGCCGUAAGUGUGUGAUUGAUUGUAUACGUCCCUCGAUGCGGCCCCCAGUAUUUGUUGACUGCCUAUGGUGGUGACUGGGGGUUAAGCAUCGGAUUAUCGAAAGAAUGUGACAUGUCUUAUACGGUUAUGUGCU
rnacentral:rRNA from 1 species